rnacentral:rRNA from 1 species
AGAGAGAGACAUGCGCGCAUAUCAAUAAGCGGAGGAAAAGAAACUAACAAGGAUUCCCCUAGUAACGGCGAGUGAAGCGGGAAGAGCUCAAAUUUGAAAUCUUAAAGGGUUUCCCUUUACGAAUUGUAGUUUAAAGAAGUGUUUUCUGUUGAGGUUUUGGUAAAAGUUCUUUGGAAUAGGACAUCAUAGAGGGUGAGAAUCCCGUAUUUGACCUUUACUUUCAACUUUGUGAUACACUUUCAAAGAGUCGGAUUGUUUGGGAAUGCAGUCCAAAAUGGGUGGUAAAUUUCAUCUAAAGCUAAAUAUUGGCGAGAGACCGAUAGCGAACAAGUACCGUGAGGGAAAGAUGAAAAGAACUUUGAAAAGAGAGUUAAACAGUACGUGAAAUUGUCAAAAGGGAAGCGUUUGACACCAGUGUUGUUUUUCUGAAAAUCAAUUAAAGAACUGUUUAUGCUAAGUUGUUUAGACUUUAUCAGCUAUCUGUUUAGUUUUGAGCUUUUCUUUAAUGCACUUUUCAGUUAACAAGUCAACAUCAAUUUCUUUUGCUGUAAAAAAGCUUGAGGAAGGUGGCUUGAGAUUCGUCUUAAGUGUUUAUAGCCUCUUGCCUAUGCAGUCGGAGAGAUUGAGGUCUGCAGCGUAGAUCCUUCGGGGCUAAAUGCAUUUGUGCUAAGUUAUAGCAUUUUAUAGACAACUUGUUGACUAUGAUUUGUCUUGUAGCUUACUCGCUUAUGUUAUUUUACCUACGCUUAGGAUGUUGACGCAUGAGAUAUACG